AAAUUAUAAAUAUGAAUCCAGGCUCGGACUGGUCAUCUGUACAACCGUGCAAAUGCCCGGUGGGCCGGUCCACAUGUGGGCCGGUGACCUCCGGAAUUUUUUU